AGGGUGUAAUAAGCCAUGAAAUGUUUUGGAAAAUUGAAAAUAAGUGUAGAUUUGAAGAUUCCUUAUAUAAGUCAAUCUUUCGAAUUGUUAUGAAUUCUCGAUCAGGUAAGAGACAAUAUAAUGAACUGAAACAUCUUUGUAGUCAGAGGAAAAGAAAAUAAAAACAAUUCUCAUAAUAACAGCGAGCGAAAUGAUA
rnacentral:ncRNA from 1 species